CUUCAAUUAAUUCUAAGUGUUUCAAAGAUGAGGAUAAAACAUUUUCUUCUUUUUCAGAGGUAACAUCUUCAUUGUCUCUUGGGCUGGAACUUCCAACUUCAUAA